UACGUAGGGUGCGAGCGUUGUCCGGAAUUACUGGGCGUAAAGAGCUCGUAGGCGGUUUGUUGCGUCGGCUGUGAAAUCCCGAGGCUCAACCUCGCGCCUGCAGUGGGUACGGGCAGACUAGAGUGUGGUAGGGGAGAUUGGAAUUCCUGGUGUAGCGGUGGAAUGCGCAGAUAUCAGGAGGAACACCGAUGGCGAAGGCAGGUCUCUGGGCCGCAACUGACGCUGAGGAGCGAAAGCAUGGGGAGCGAACAGG
rnacentral:rRNA from 1 species